rnacentral:rRNA from 1 species
UACAGAGGUCUCAAGCGUUGUUCGGAUUCAUUGGGCGUAAAGGGUGCGUAGGCGGCGCGGUAAGUCGGGUGUGAAAUCUUGGAGCUUAACUCCGAAACUGCAUUCGAUACUGCCGUGCUUGAGGACUGGAGAGGAGACUGGAAUUUACGGUGUAACGGUGAAAUGCGUAGAUAUCGUAAGGAAGACCAGUGGCGAAGGCGGGUCUCUGGACAGUUCCUGACGCUGAAGCACGAAGGCCAGGGGAGCAAACGGG